GACGAACGCUGGCGGCGUGCUUAACACAUGCAAGUCGAGCGGUAAGGCCCUUUCGGGGGUACACGAGCGGCGAACGGGUGAGUAACACGUGGGUGACCUGCCCUCAGCUCUGGGAUAAGCCUGGGAAACCGGGUCUAAUACCGGAUAUGACUCCAUGACGCAUGUUGUGGGGUGGAAAGCCUUGUGCGGCUGAGGAUGGGCCCGCGGCCUAUCAGCUUGUUGGUGGGGGAUGGCCUACCAAGGCGACGACGGGUAGCCGGCCUGAGAGGGCGACCGGCCACACUGGGACUGAGACACGGCCCAGACUCCUACGGGAGGCAGCAGUGGGGAAUCUUGCGCAAUGGGCGAAGGCCUGACGCAGCGACGCCGCGUGAGGGAUGACGGCCU
rnacentral:rRNA from 1 species